rnacentral:misc_RNA from 1 species
UUUCCAUCAAACUAUAUCUCCAAUGACAUAACAUUGACUUGAAGAACAAUUUUUCCAUCUAACACGAGUCAUCUGAUGAUCAACGUUGUUAAUGUAGCACUAACGUUACCCCCUAUACAAAAACUAGAUCAAUUAAUCUUUCACCUUGCAUAAAUCAGAAAUGGUCUUCCCAAAGAAACACUCCACGGUUGCACGACGUUACAAAAAAAGUGCAGUGAUGCACCCAAAAUGAUGAGAAAGUAAUAAUUCAGUUCCUUAGGAAUGCUACAGUUGCUACACGCGAGCCUACGGAUCCUCCAAAUGUGAAUGUAGGAUAUGUGCGAACGUGAUCGAGAUAGCGGAAAGGAGGAGGAUCUACUGAGGCUUCGACUGUUCCUGGUCUUUGACAAGCAACCCUUCUUUGAUUGAGAGUAUCCACUUCUUCUACCAAUUCAUCUUUUGUACUAUUACAUGAAGUAAUUACCAAUAAUCCACCAGGAGCGACAAGCCUUGAAACAGAGUCCCAGUAGAUAAUCCUUUUGAUAGGACCAUCAGGAUGCAAUCCAAUGGCAUCUAAGGUCCCCUUAUCCAUAACUAGCUGAAACCUUUUAUCCAAUUUUGUCUCAAGAAUGUCAUCAACCAAGAACUUGACAUUGGUGAAACCAUCACGAUCAGCAAGGCUUCUUGCAAGGUCAACUGCUCCUUCACUAUAGUCAGUUCCAGUGAGAUCAGAGAACCCUUGUUUAGCAAGCUCUUGGAGAAGCAGACCAUUGCCAGUCCCAAUAUCAAGCACACUCCAACCUGAAAUGUCAAUCUCACGCUGCCCAACAGGCUCAGAAUCGGCAUCAGCUACGUGAUUUGGCAAAUGACUCUUGCAAAUGUCCAUGCACAAACCUUUGGUCCAUGAGACAACAUUUUCCAUAACGUCACCACCAAACCAAACUUCACCAGUGUGACCAUGCUCACGAAAGUUUGUCAAUUCAUCGGCGUAAGCAGCAUCCCAAUAGCUUUGGAAACCAAGCAUUGAAGAAACUCCUUCACCUUCCUGCUCAUCCUUGUCAGAACUGUAAUCGGCUCGGUAGUUAAGAGCUUCAGUAGCAUCAGCGUGGCGCUGCUCAUCAUCGAGAGUACUUCCGUAUUCGCUCUUUAUGGACCACGAAUCGGCCGCCACAGAGCGGUCGUCGUCGGAAAUCAGAUCGGCUGCUGCCGCUGGUCGGACCUGCGCGACGUCGGGGUCCUCCGGUAACAGUCUCAUCCCGGCCAUGUGUGAUGAAUCGAGAUGAAAAACCCUAAAGAGAAGAGGAAGGGAGAGAGAGGAGUGUGAUGUACGUUGGAGGAGUUGACAAAAAAUGAC